CAGCAGCCGCGGUAAUACGAAGGGGGCUAGCGUUGUUCGGAAUUACUGGGCGUAAAGCGCACGUAGGCGGCUUGGUAAGUUAGAGGUGAAAGCCUGGAGCUCAACUCCAGAAUUGCCUUUAAGACUGCCGAGCUAGCAGGUGAGAGAGGUAAGUGGAAUUCCGAGUGUAGAGGUGAAAUUCGUAGAUAUUCGGAAGAACACCAGUGGCGAAGGCGGCUUACUGGCUCAUACUGGACGCUGAGGUGCGAAAGCGUGGGGAGCAAACAGGAUUAGAUACCCCGGUAGUCCCUGUCUCUUAUAC
rnacentral:rRNA from 1 species